GUAUGAGCUAUGAAAAAGUAUGAAAGUACAAUUAUUCACUAGAUUAGGUUAAUUAGAGAGCUUGUGGUAGGUGGAAACAAGUACUAUGGAUAAUUGGAAUUGGGCCUUUGGAGCUUAUAAUCAAAAGUGAUCUUAUAUAAUAAGAUAAUAAGGGUGGUACCGCGGUUCAUUCGUCCCUGUU
rfam:Virgibacillus massiliensis genome assembly, contig: 000002